rnacentral:rRNA from 1 species
GACGAACCGUGCGAACGUUGUUCGGAUUCACUGGGCUUAAAGGGCGCGUAGGCGGGCUGCCAAGUCUGGGGUGAAAGCUUCCGGCCCAACCGGAAAAGUGCCUCGGAUACUGGCAGUCUCGAGGGGGGUAGGGGCAGCUGGAACUUCCGGUGGAGCGGUGAAAUGCGUAGAUAUCGGAAGGAACUCCGGUGGCGAAAGCGGGCUGCUGGACCCCUCCUGACGCUGAUGCGCGAAAGCCAGGGGAGCAAACGGG